rnacentral:rRNA from 1 species
AGAGUUUGAUCCUGGCUCAGAUUGAACGCUGGCGGCAGGCCUAACACAUGCAAGUCGAGCGGAUGAAAGGAGCUUGCUCCUGGAUUCAGCGGCGGACGGGUGAGUAAUGCCUAGGAAUCUGCCUGGUAGUGGGGGACAACGUUUCGAAAGGAACGCUAAUACCGCAUACGUCCUACGGGAGAAAGCAGGGGACCUUCGGGCCUUGCGCUAUCAGAUGAGCCUAGGUCGGAUUAGCUAGUUGGUGAGGUAAUGGCUCACCAAGGCGACGAUCCGUAACUGGUCUGAGAGGAUGAUCAGUCACACUGGAACUGAGACACGGUCCAGACUCCUACGGGAGGCAGCAGUGGGGAAUAUUGGACAAUGGGCGAAAGCCUGAUCCAGCCAUGCCGCGUGUGUGAAGAAGGUCUUCGGAUUGUAAAGCACUUUAAGUUGGGAGGAAGGGCAGUAAAUUAAUACUCUGCAAUUUUGACGUUACCGACAGAAUAAGCACCGGCUAACUCUGUGCCAGCAGCCGCGGUAAUACAGAGGGUGCAAGCGUUAAUCGGAAUUACUGGGCGUAAAGCGCGCGUAGGUGGUUUGUUAAGUUGGAUGUGAAAUCCCCGGGCUCAACCUGGGAACUGCAUCCAAAACUGGCAAGCUAGAGUAUGGUAGAGGGUGGUGGAAUUUCCUGUGUAGCGGUGAAAUGCGUAGAUAUAGGAAGGAACACCAGUGGCGAAGGCGACCACCGGACGAUAGACACUGA